rnacentral:rRNA from 1 species
CAGCACCUCAAGUGGUCAGGAUGAUUAUUGGGCCUAAAGCAUCCGUAGCCGGCGCUGUAAGUUUUCGGUUAAAUCUGUACGCUCAACGUACAGGCUGCCGGGAAUACUGCAGCGCUAGGGAGUGGGAGAGGUAGACGGUACUCGGCAGGAAGGGGUAAAAUCCUUUGAUCUAUUGAUGACCACCUGUGGCGAAGGCGGUCUACCAGAACACGUCCGACGGUGAGGGAUGAAAGCUGGGGGAGCAAACCGGAUUAGAUACCCGAGUAGUCC